AGUGAACGCUGGCGGUAGGCCUAACACAUGCAAGUCGAACGGCAGCACAGUAAGAGCUUGCUCUUACGGGUGGCGAGUGGCGGACGGGUGAGGAAUACAUCGGAAUCUACUUUUUCGUGGGGGAUAACGUAGGGAAACUUACGCUAAUACCGCAUACGACCUACGGGUGAAAGCAGUGGAUCUUCGGACCUUGCGCGAUUGAAUGAGCCGAUGUCGGAUUAGCUAGUUGGCGGGGUAAAGGCCCACCAAGGCGACGAUCCGUAGCUGGUCUGAGAGGAUGAUCAGCCACACUGGAACUGAGACACGGUCCAGACGCCUACGGGAGGCAGCAGUGGGGAAUAUUGGACAAUGGGCGCAAGCAUGAUCCAGCCAUACCGCGUGGGUGAAGAAGGCCUUCGGGUUGUAAAGCCCUUUUGUUGGGAAAGAACAGCAGCAGGUUAAUACCCCGCUGUUCUGACGGUACCCAAAGAAUAAGCACCGGCUAACUUCGUG
rnacentral:rRNA from 1 species